rfam:Hordeum vulgare subsp. vulgare, WGS project CAJW01000000 data, contig: morex_contig_135494
UCUGCUUCUCUUAACAGUAUUCGUGCCUGUGAAUUAACCUGUAUGGUUCCCGGGCAAUGAUGAGGUGGGAAGCAAAGAGGAACGUUCCUCUCGCUAUCCAGUGCGGAAUUUCUAGUGUUGCUAUUGGACGUCGAGGAACUACACUU